AGGAGGAACAGCAACAGUGGCUGCGGCCAGCUCUUCAGCCCUGGAGUCAGCUCCCGCAGUAACUAUGGCAGCUCCCAGUCCGCAGGGGCCUGGAUGCUCCGGGGGCGC
rnacentral:pre_miRNA from 1 species